GGAGGUAGGGCCGAGGCGGCGGCGGGGGCUGCGGGGGGAGGAGUUUGCCUGGCGAUGUCUUGCUCAGGGAUCCUCUCUGGAAGGCUCCAGCACAAAGGAGCCGUGCGGCGGCCACGAGCGUGCCGAGCCUGCCCGUCCCCAAGCCCGGCCACCGCCUGGAAAGCAGAAACCUCAUCAAGAAUAGGGCUCGAGACAGUCCCCUGCGCAGCCUCCGCGGCGGAGCAGCCAGGCAGGACAAGGGGACAUUGCACGGCGCUCGUGUAGCCGGUGACGACAGCACCGCCAGCCCCGGGGCGCUGCCCCAGCUCUUGCCUGGCCGGGCUGACUGUGCCCGAGGGAGCCGGGGCACAGGGAGCUGUGAUCGCUGCCAGCACGAGGACCCCGGAGCAGCCCGGCCCCGGAGCUGUGCGGCCCCGCAGAGCCACCCAGCGAGAGCCUGGCCGCCGUGGGGACACAGCCAAGGAGACGGCGCUGGCGGUGCCUGAGGACACGGGUCUGCCCGCGCGCCGCUCUCCUGCCAGGUGCUGGGGCCCCUUUCCUCCUGCUGCUGCGGCUGGUGCAGGGCAACGGGGAGGGCAUGGGCAGGAUGAGAGCCGCCCCCCUCCCCGAGCGUAACAGACAAGGGGGAAGGGGACGGGCGAGGGGCUGGUUCAGCUCCCCACGAGGACACAGUGGCCAGAGCCAGAAGGGCCCCCUGCCAUCCACACCUACCCUGGCCCCGUCCCUCUGUCUGCUGGCAAAGUCCUGGUGCUUCCUGCAAGUGCCCAGUACCGCUGCUGCCUUGUCCUGGCGGGGCCCUGGCUCUGCGCUGGGGGUAUGUUGGGGAACCGCCAGGAUUCUGGACCAGCCUGGGGCCCCGAGGGGAGCAGGGCUCAGCGCAUCCCUCGCGGGGAUGGCAGCAGCACCACGCGUGCCCUGUGCGCGGCUGCAACAUCCGUGCAGCUGAAGGGCCCGAGGGGGCACGCGGCCCCUGUGGGACGAGGGGACCUGGAGGCCACAAGGGGCAGAGGGUGCCUGGGAGCCCCUGCCCAGCCUUGUCUCUCUCCUCAGCACAUGCUCAGCGCCCGCUCCUGCAGCCGGCCCCACCGAGAGGCGGCCUCUGAUGGGGAGGGGAUGCGGUGCCAGGGCUCUUUUCCCCGGGUCCAGUCGUGGUUUUCUCUGCCAGCCCUCCUCCUCCUCCCUCCGUGGGCUGGCAGGCUCGGUGCAGACCCCAGCGGGUGCCUCUGCAGAAGCCCUGCCCUUGCAGAGCUGCCCCUGCCCAGGCAGGCACCACCAGCACAGGCUGUGCCGUGCCCUCGCCGUGCCGUCACCCGUCCCCUUCCUCUGCUUCCUCUGCUGCGUGCCCCUGCCCUCGGAGCCUCACGAUGCUGAGGCAAAGGCCCAGCGCUGCUGGGGCUGCCUCCUUCUGAGCCCGUCUCAUCCUUGCUGGUGCCGGGGCUGGACACCACGGCUUGCAGGGGAGCACUGCUCGGGGGGGCUGUGCCUCCCCGUCACGGUGGUAGCGGCAGGUCCUGCAGAGCGAUUCGUUCAGGAGUUACGGUGCGCGGGCCGAACCAGCCGCUGACACCCUCCCAGUCCUCGAUCCAGAGGCAAAGCCCAGAAAUGCCUCCUGCUCUAGGAAGCUGUCACCCAGGAGGGCACUGCCUCGCCGCGGGGGGACUAACCAGGCUGUGCAUGCGUGCGCUCUGCUCCAUUACUAGCACACUAACCAGGGCCCCCGGCCCCUCGCGAUAACUAACCCACUAACCAGCCCGGCGCAUGCCCUACUAACCGCUCCUGCCUCGCCUCCCACUAACCACGGGCAGCCCGCGCUGUCCUUAAAGGGGAAUGGAAAAGCUGGGUAAGUAUGGGGUGGUGUGGGGCGCUGGGGGUGCUGGGGGUGCUGCGGGGUGCUGGGGCACGGCACGGCUGGGGGAACGCAGGGGCAGGGCCGGGCAGCGUGGCACUCUGGUGGGCAGAGCAGGGUGGGCAGCACAGGGCAGCACAGGGUGGGCAGCACAGGGUGGGCAGUGCAGGGCAGCACAGGGUGGGCAGCACAGGGCAGUGCAGGGCAGCGCAGGGCAGUGCAGGGUGCCCGCAGGCAGCCCCCCGAAGGGCCGCUCGCUGCCGCAGCGGGACGGCGAUGCCCAGGGCCCCGUGCGGGUUCUGCUGCUGACUGGCAGCCCGAAAUGGUUUUAUCAGCAGAAGCUUUUCAGUUCCUUUUUAAGCCAGUGGCUCUCUGUUACUAACACAUUCCUGAACUGAAUUAAACAAACUAAUCGCCGCUGCUUUUCUCUUCAUUUCUCUUGCAGUUCGUAUGCUCUCUAAGUGCGACUGGUGAUGCCAUGCUUCUUUCACUAACCGCCUGCACUAACCUUGCCGUUCUUGUUUCCCUACUGCUACUAACAACUGUUCUCUGCACCGUAACUCGGGUGCUGUUCACCAUGACACAUGAACGGCGGCCUCCUGCCUGCCCAGGGGACUCGUGGCCGCCGGUGCUGCCCAGCAGCGCUGCUGCCCUGGAACCUCGUGGAGGACAGUGCUCGGGCUGCGGGGCUUUCCAAAUUUCCCUAUUGGCCUUUUG